UCUCAGGCUGUGACCCUCUAGAGGGAAGCGCUUUCUGUUGGCUAAAAGAAAAGAAAGCGCUUCCCUUCAGAGUGUUAACGCUUUGAGA
ensembl:miRNA MIR518E microRNA 518e